rnacentral:rRNA from 1 species
CCUACGGGUGGCAGCAGUGAGGAAUAUUGGUCAAUGGGCGCGAGUCUGAACCAGCCAAGUAGCGUGAAGGAUGACUGCCCUAUGGGUUGUAAACUUCUUUUAUAAAGGAAUAAAGUGAGGCACGUGUGCCUUUUUGUAUGUACUUUAUGAAUAAGGACCGGCUAAUUCCGUGCCAGCAGCCGCGGUAAUACGGAGGAUCCGAGCGUUAUCCGGAUUUAUUGGGUUUAAAGGGAGCGCAGAUGGAUUGUUAAGUCAGUUUUGAAAGUUUGCGGCUCAACCGUAAAAUUGCAAUGGAUACUGGCAGUCUUGAGUACAGUUGAGGUAGGCGGAAUUCGUGGUGUAGCGGUGAUAUGCUUAGAUAUCACGAAGAACUCCGAUGGCGAAGGCAGCUUACUAAACUGCCACUGACAUUGAUGCUCGAAAGUGUGUGUAUCAAACAGGAUUAGAUACACUUGUAGUC